rnacentral:RNase_P_RNA from 1 species
GUGAUGGGUCGCCCCACCGCGGCAAGGGAGGCAACUCCGGCGACGAGGAAAGUCCGGGCAACGCAGAGCACCCUGCUUCCUAACGGGAAGGACUGGUAAGCGUAAAGUGAACCAGGACAGCCAGUGCCACAGAAAAGUACCGCCAGGCGGUGAAGUGGUGAUUUAGCGAAUUAGUGAGUUGUCGUUCUGAGAACUCACUAAAUCACUAACUCACUUAUUCACCAUUGGUAAGGGUGAAAAGGUGCGGUAAGAGCGCACCAGCGGCUGGGCAACCAGGCCGGCUGGGUAAACCUCAGGGGUUGAAAGACCAAAUAAGCUGGUACGCGGGCCGCAAGGCCUGCACCGGGCGGCUCGUCCGGCGCCAGCGGGUAGGUUGAUGGAGCCUUUCCGCGAGGACUGGCCUAGAUAAAUGGUGGGGCCGUGGCAACACGGACAAAACCCGGCUUACAGACUCAUCACCGGC